rnacentral:rRNA from 1 species
CCUACGGGGGGCAGCAGUGGGGGAUAUUGGACAAUGGGGGGAACCCUGAUCCAGCGACGCCGCGUGAGUGAAGAAGUAUUUCGGUAUGUAAAGCUCUGUCAGCAGGGAAGAAAGCAAUGACGGUACCUGACCAGUAAGCCCCGGCUAACUACGUGCCAGCAGCCGCGGUAAUACGUAGGGGGCAAGCGUUAUCCGGAGUUACUGGGUGCAAUGGGAGCGUAGACGGCUGUGCAAGUCUGGAGUGAAAGGCGGGGGCCCAACCCCCGGACUGCUCUGGAAACUGGAUGGCUGGAGUGCAGGAGAGGUAAGCGGAAUUCCUAGUGUAGCGGUGAAAUGCGUAGAUAUUAGGAGGAACACCAGUGGCGAAGGCGGCUUACUGGACUGUAACUGACGCUGAGGCGCGAAAGCGUGGGGAGCAAACAGGAUUAGAUACCCCUGUAGUC